rnacentral:vault_RNA from 1 species
GCGCUGGUGUAGCUCAGUGGUUACUUCAUUUGGCUUUUUCUGAAGACAGUCCUUUUGAUCGACCCCGCAGCGCUCUCUAGCGUUUUC